UACGAAGGGGACUAGCGUUGUUCGGAAUCACUGGGCGUAAAGCGCACGUAGGCGGAUGUGUCAGUCAGGGUGAAAUCCCGGGGCUCAACCUCGGAACUGCCUUUGAUACAGCACGUCUCGAGUCCGGAAGAGGUGGGUGGAAUUCCUAGUGUAGAGGUGAAAUUCGUAGAUAUUAGGAAGAACACCGGUGGCGAAGGCGGCCCACUGGUCCGGUACUGACGCUGAGGUGCGAAAGCGUGGGGAGCAAACAGG
rnacentral:rRNA from 1 species